CCCUGGUUCUCCUUUUUGUCCUUUCUCAAGCCGAAUGUUAAUGCUGCCACCACCUCCUGGAAGCCCUCUUUCACCUUUGAACCGAACAUACAUAAUACUUUGUCCCAUGACCCAAUGAGUCUGCAGCGGAAGGGAAUCUCUCUAGUUUGUUGUCGCCGCUGGAUGAGGUUAUCCUCCCAGAACUGAAUGCAGCAGAAAAACAAGUGGCUUCUGCUUUGUACCUUCAAAUGCCUCUUCUCCUUCUCCUCGUUAUCUGUCCAGACAUCAGUUUAUUCAGUUGGUCCUUAUAUAGAGCCAAGUCAUCUAUAUCAUCUCCUUUACAACUUUUUGAAGUUGUGAACAGGAUUUUUGAGCACAACGCUACAGAUACAGAUCCUUCCCUUGUGGAGUUUUCCCUUCGAGCCUAGAUCUUCAGAGACAGCCUGAGUCAUUUGUGUUAACACUCCAACUGGAAACAACACUGGCCUUUCACAACCAGGCAACGUUCAAAAG